rnacentral:rRNA from 1 species
AACUGAAGAGUUUGAUCAUGGCUCAGAUUGAACGCUGGCGGCAGGCUUAACACAUGCAAGUCGAGCGGGGGAAGGUAGCUUGCUACUGGACCUAGCGGCGGACGGGUGAGUAAUGCUUAGGAAUCUGCCUAU